AUUGAACGCUGGCGGCAGGCCUAACACAUGCAAGUCGGACGGUAGCACAGAGAGCUUGCUCUCGGGUGACGAGUGGCGGACGGGUGAGUAAUGUCUGGGGAUCUGCCCGAUAGAGGGGGAUAACCACUGGAAACGGUGGCUAAUACCGCAUAACGUCGCAAGACCAAAGAGGGGGACCUUCGGGCCUCUCACUAUCGGAUGAACCCAGAUGGGAUUAGCUAGUAGGCGGGGUAACGGCCCACCUAGGCGACGAUCCCUAGCUGGUCUGAGAGGAUGACCAGCCACACUGGAACUGAGAUACGGUCCAGACUCCUAAGGGAGGCAGCAGUGGGGAAUAUUGCACAAUGGGCGCAAGCCUGAUGCAGCCAUGCCGCGUGUAUGAAGAAGGCCUUCGGGUUGUAAAGUACUUUCAGCGGGGAGGAAGGCGAUGUGGUUAAUAACCGCGUCGAUUGACGUUACCCGCAGAAGAAGCACCGGCUAACUCCGUGCCAGCCGCCGCAGUAA
rnacentral:rRNA from 1 species